AGGCCUCGCGUCGGGGCAGGAAGGAAGGGGGGGUGUCAUGGCGACGAAUAUCGAGCAGAUCCUUCGGUCCUUUGUGGUCAGCAAAUUCCGGGAGAUCCAGGAGGAGCAGCAGCAGCAGCACGGCGGUGCAAAUGUGGAAGGGCAGCCCAAUGGUGACACGAUCCCAGCUGAGCAGGCCGGGCCUUCCGAAGCCUCUGGAGCUGCUGGGAGUUGUCAGAGUGAUCAGAUAGUGCAGAAAAUAGAGGAAGUGCUCUCCGGAGCCCUCGGGACAGAGCUGCAGUGCAACCCAGAUGUAGACAAAAAUACUGUGAAAAAUAGUACUCAGUCUACAAAAAGGAGCUCUACAGGUGAAGAUGAAAUUCCUAGGAAAAAAGCAAAGAAAAACAAGAAGCACAAAAGCAAGAAGAAGAAGAAAAAGAAGAAGAAAAGGAAGAAAGAGAAGAAGCAUAAAAAGCAACCAAAGGAAUCCAAGUUGAUUGCACGUCCCGGAGAGCCUGCAGGCGUGCAGCCAGCCCCUCCCUUGGUGCCAGAGCAGUCCAGCUCCCAAGUGAAUGUACAGCAAGGAGUGUUUGCAGAGGCAAACCUGGCUGGCCACGUGCAGCCAGAACUGUGCUCCAAACCGGCUGAGGGGCUUGAUAAUCAAGCUUUAGGACUUGUUUCUCAUUCAGUGACUGAUUCUCAGCAAUCUGCAGAAAAUCUUGGAAGUGGGGAGGGGACUUUGUGUGCAGCAAAUCCUCCAUUUAAUUUAGAAAGCAUCCAGUCUAAUAUCCCAGAAAAUACUAGUAUAGCUCAAACUAGAAUUUGCACUAGCGAAGAACAAAUUCAGCGGUCCCAUGAAAAUAUUUAUCCUGUAGCUAUUAAUGCCAGUGUUGUUGAUACUGGAAAUAAUACUUGGUCCAGCAUCCCAUCUGGAAUUGUCAAUAAAUCAGAGAUUCAGAAAGAUUCAGUAGAAGCACUGGGAGGUACAGAAGUCACUCUGAAAUCUCAAGGCAUUGGGGAAGCAAAAGCUUCGCACGCAGCUCUGGAGCCUGAGACCAUGGAGGUGUUGACUUACUCGGAAGCAUCUCAUCAGUCUGUGUCUCAGAGGGCAGCACAGGGGUUGGAAACAGCUUCAGAAUCCGUGUCCUUGGCAAGUGGUGUGACAACAACCCCUACACCUGCAAGUUGGGCACAUCCAGGUGCUGUGACUGUAGCUCACUUGGCUGUGGCUGGGCAAGAAGUGAAAAUUCCAGAAACAACUGAAAAAUCUCUGCACAUGGGAAAUGUGAGAAGUGUGGAGAGACCUUCAGAACUGGGGGGUGCGAGCAGAACUUUGGAGCCAUCCCUGCAGCCCUCAGUCAUGUCUGGGAGUUUGAGCAUGACCCAGAGCAGCCCUCUCAGUGUUCUGAAAGCAGGUGUACCUUUGCAACAUCCUUCAACAGUAUCUGCAGCCACCCCUGUGACCCACAUGGAAAUAAGUGCCAAAACACCUCCAGGACCAGGAGCUGUUACAAAAAUGAAGGAUAUGGAGCCAGCUAUGGGGAGUGUGAAAGCUUUAGAAACAACCAUGGAACCUGUUGUAGCAAAAGAUGUCAGAGCAGCUCAUGAAAGUCUGCAAGGCAGAAGUGUGGAAGGAACCACUGGUUCUGUAACAGCACUGGGUGCAUCAGGAGUGUUCCUACAACAUGGAGUCUUGGCAGAAACAAGGAGUGUGGACAGAGCCCAGGGAUCUACACUUUCAGCAGGAUUGACAGGUAUGAACGUGGUUGCAGAGGCAAGAGGAUUAGGAGCAACUUCAGAACCUGCAGCAGUUGUACAGACCUUCGUUCCCCAAACAGCUCCAGAAGUCCACAUGGCAGAGGGUUUUAGAAGUCCACAAGCAAAAGAUUCACAAGGUAUUUCAUUGCUGAGAGAAUCAAGACCUGAGAGUGAAUCACAUGUGAGAGGUUUGUCACCUUCUCUGUCUUUGCAGAAGGAAAACACACAAAGUCCAGGAGGAGUCCUGAGACCAGUGGCUGUGGUGGAAGCAAAAACUUUCACAACAGCUUCAAUGUCCUUACAAGUAGAAGGUGUGAAAGCUUCAGAAGAAGCUGUGCAUUGUGGGACUGUUGCAAGUCUGGGACUUCCUGCCUUGGAAAGGACUCCUGAACCUGUGGUUGCAUGUGAAAGCGUGGAACCAGUUAGAGGGGCUGAGGCAUCAGCAGGGGUGAUGCCAUGGCAGGCCACAGCAGAGAGAGAACCUCUCCAUGCAGGCCUGACAGAGAGUUCCGUCAUUGCACAGUCGCAGACGAUGACACACACAGGACCCUCACACACUGAGGUGCUGAGGGAGAGAAAGGAUUCGGAACAUGUUCCAGAAGCAGAGACAAGGAGCAGAGAAGCAAUCCGAGAAACUGUGCAAACUUCAGAAAUCAGUUCAAAAUCUAUUCAGGAACAAGUAGUAGGUCAUUCAGCAGCAGUCUUGGAGUCUUUGCCCAGAGUGGAAGAAAACAGUAUGGCAUCAGGUGUACUGACAGAUGCACAAACUCAGGGAUCUGCUGUAGAACAUGAAAUUGCAGCAAGGGGGACCAGCACCCAAGGAAAUGAGCUCUCAGAAACGGAGAAAGCAAAAUAUCUGGAACCAGCAUCAGAAGCUGGAGGAAUGAGGUGGUUAGAGAGCACGACAGAGUCUGCAAAAGUAGAGGUGAAAGGUUCUGAAACAGGUGAGAAGCUUGAGGUACCCAUGGGUGAUGCUUCAGCAGCUGUUCCAGAAUACUUGCAUGCUGAAAAGCAACAAGAUCUUCAGGUAGUUCUAGAAGGAAAACCUGCUGCAGAAUGGAAGAGUUCAGAAGAGGCUCCAGAAAUCUUGGGUGCUUCUGGAAUAAAACCUUCUGAAGCAGUUCCAAAACCAGGGGAUGUGAAAGGCCUGGAAACCACACUGGAGCAUGAAGUGACAGCUGAGGUACAAUAUAUAGAAGGAGUACAGGGUCAACAGGUGGAGGAUAUGGUGAUUGAGAAGGAAGAUGCGGAGCAGACUCAAACAUCUGAGCCUUUAGUAGCAGAAACAGUUUUUGGUUCUUCACAUGCAGCAGAGAAAAAAGUUUCAGCAGGGACUCCUGUAGCAGAAACACAAGAUUUGGAAACAGCUCCUCGGACUGAUGUAGAGCUGAAAGAUGCAGAAGCAGCUGCAGGGUUGGAGGCAGAGACAAAAGAUUUGGAAGCAGGUCCAGCACCUGAGACUGAUGCAGAAGCAGGUCCAGAACUUAUAGAGGAAGGCCAGUUGGAAGACACUCCAGAGGCUGAGGAUGUCAAAGAAGCAACUCCUGAAGAGGACUCAGAGAAAAGAGACUCUGAAACAUCCGAUGUGCAGCCUGAUGUGGCGGCACGAAUGAAGGAGACUCUCAUGAGGCUUGAGAAUGUUGUUGAAAAAAGUAGUCAUAGAACCAGUGAGAAAAAACAUGAUUCAAAGAAACAGAAAAGGAGCCGUUCCAAGUCUCAGUCCAGGUCUAGGAAGCGGAAGAAAAAAUCAAGAUCACGUUCCACUUCCAGGCGUUUGACCUCUAAAAGAGCGCGUUCUAGGAGCAGAAACUAUUCCGUUUCCAGAAAAAAGCAUUCCAAAUCUAGGUCCCGAUCUGUGGAGAAAAGAGAGAGAAGAUUGUCUUCGCGGCGGUCCAGGCGCAGACAUUCUAGGUCAUCUGACCGUUACAGGUCUAAAUCCAGAUCAGCAGAAAAGAGAUUGUCCAGACGGAGACGUUCCAGGUCGUCUGACCACUACAGGUCUAAAUCCAGGUCAGUGGAGAAGCGGCUGUCCUCCCGAAGGUCCAGACGCAGACGCUCCAGGUCGUCUGACCGCUACAGAUCCAAGUCCAGGUCCGUGGAGAAGCGGUUGUCCUCCCGAAGAUCUGGGCGCAGACGUUCCAGGUCUUCCGACCGCUACAGGUCUAAGUCACGGUCAGCAGAGAAGCGGCUGUCCUCCCGAAGGUCUGGGCGCAGACGUUCCAGGUCCUCUGACCGCUACAGAUCCAAGUCCAGGUCAGCAGAGAAGCGACUAUCCUCCCGAAGGUCCGGGAGGAGACGUUCCAGGUCUUCUGACCGCUACAGAUCCAAGUCCAGGUCAGUGGAGAAGCGGCUGUCCUCCCGAAGGUCCGGGCGCAGACGUUCCCGGUCAUCCGACCGCUACAGGUCUAAGUCACGGUCAGCGGAAAAGAGAUUGUCCUCCUGGAGAUCCCGCCGCAGACAUUCCAGGUCCUCUGACCGUUCAAAAUCUAGAUCCAGGUCUUCAGAAAAGGGAGGAGGCAAAGAGUACUCCUGGAGGUUCAGACAUCGGUCUGGUUCCUCUGAUGGUUCAAAAUCCAGGUCAAGAUCUGUUGAGAAGAGAGGUCGGAAGGCGUCUGUGCGGAGGUCCAAACGUCAGCGCUCCAAGUCCUCGGAUCGCUACAAGUCUCGAUCCAGGUCAGUAGAAAAAAGGGAUCGAAAGCAGUCGUCGCGGAAGUCUAAACGUCAGCGCUCCAAGUCCUCUGACCGUUACAAGUCUAGAUCCAAAUCUGUAGAAAAAAAGAAGGAAUCCUCACGAAAAUCCAAGCGUCGACGCUCAAAAUCUUCUGAACGCUACAAGUCUAGGUCCCGGUCUGUUGAAAAAAAACGCAAGGAGUCUUCAAAAAAAUCCAAACGGAAACGUUCCAAGUCCUCCGACAGUGUUAAGUCAAGGUCCAAAUCUGUAGAAAAAAAGGAUAAGUCAUCCUCAGCAAAGUCCAGUAGCAAGCAUGAGUCUUCUGAACUUCAGGAGUCAGCCAAAGGUCUUGAUGAAGAUGUUCCUCAGUCUUCUUUUGGAAGUGAAGGUAAAUCCUCUAAUGGUCCCACAUCAGUAGCUUUGUCUGAUGAAGGAGUAAACGGUCCAGUGCUGCCACCAUCAUUUGGAAGUGGAUUAUCCAAAACUUCAGAGAGCCUUGAGGAAAGAUCCUCAUCUGUUGAAAAAACAGCAGAUCUGCAGCAUUCUGCCACAUCUGAAUUUGAUACCUCCAAAACCCGUGAUGACCAGGAACUGAGAUCCACAUCUGUGGCAAAAACACAGGAUUCAGAGCUGUCUAUGACGUCUGAAAAUGGAUCAACUGAAAAAGCAGCAGCUCCGGAGUCUUCAUUGCUACCUGAACUUCCAUACUCCACAUCCAAGUCAAGAUCCUCAUCUGUUGAAAAAAGAGGAGAUCUAGAAACUUCUUCAGUAGCAGAAUUUCAUGUCUCUGCGUCCCGUGAAGGUGAGUCCAGAACUGCACCUCUCAAAGAAGUAGAAGGUCCAGAGCUUCCUCCAGCACUUAAAAGAGGUAUGGAACUUCAGUCAGCUCUCCUGUCUGAAAGUGGGGUCUCCAACUUGUCUGAUGGUCACGAUUCACAGCAUAUCCCUGGUGAGCACAAAGAGCUUUCACAAGUUCUGCAAGUACCUGAACGUGAGUUUUCCCAGCUGGCUGACAGCCCUGGAGCAAUGGAAGCUCAGAGGCCUUUCCUGCCACCUGAAAUGAUCCGCCCUGUGAUCCCUGAUGGCUGUGAGUCAGGCCAGAUGCAGGAGCCUUCUCUGGCUUCUGACGGUGGGCACUUUGUGUCUCCUGAUGGACAUGGGUCAGGAUCCAGCUUUGCUGCACCAAUAGAGGAGCAUCCAUUGUCUGUAGGCGAGUCCUUUAAGUCACCACAUGGAAAUGAACAAAGAUUUUUAUCUACUGAAAAAGUCAAGACUCCAGAUGUUUCCCUGACAUCUGUGUGUGGUUCUGUUGAGGUGUCUGCCAACAUCAUUUCAGUGUCUUCUUUUGAAGUUCAUGAGUCCAGAUCAUCUGUUGACAAAGCUUUAGACGGUCCAACGCUUCCACAAGUGCUUGAGGUCGACUGCUCCAGAUCUUCAGAAAUGCAUGAUUCAAGAUAUCUAACUGGAAAAAUAGAUGGUGCAGGAUCUUUGGUGAUGUCUAAAAGUGGGAUUCCCAUAUGCCACGAUGGCCACAAAGCAAAGUACAACUCCUUUGAGCAAACAGAGAGUGCAGAACUGUCAGUGGCAUCUGAGCUCCGGUGUUCCAUCUUUCCUGAAGGCUAUAAAUUGACAUCUGCUGCAGUUGAAAAAGUGGAGAUCCAGAAGCCUUCUCUCUCACUGGAAAGUGGCUUCUCCGUGUCUGCUGACGGCUGUGAGUCAGUGGGCACACCUGAAAAACUACAGCCCCCAGUGGCUGCUGUGACAUCAGAAGGUGGGGUUCUGCUGUUGCCUGACAGUCAGGAGCUGAGACCUGUCCCUGCAGAGAAAACAGAAAUGCUGAAUUCGUCCGAACUGAAACACCUGACGUCCCCUGAUGGCUACAAGCUGAGAUCUGCCUACAGUGAAGAAGUGCAGGAGCCCAUUCUGGUACCAGAAAGCAGGUGUUCUGUUGCCUCCGAUGGUGAUGAGUUGGCAUCCACCACUUCUGAAAAAGCUGAGGAGCAUUCUCAAGUGUCUGAAAAUGAGUACACAAUAGGGCUUGAUGGCCCGGAGUUGACAUCAACCCCUGCUGAAAAAACGGAGCUGCGGAAGCUUUAUCAGAUGUCUGAAGAAAGAUGUCUGGAGCCCAUCGACAGCCGGGAUCUGCAGUCACCCUCUGCUGAAGAGACACAGGUACAACACACUGCUCUGGUGUCUGAAAAUGAUCAUGCCGUGUCCUGGGUGGGCCAGGAGUUGAGGUCCAGCUCUCCUGAGAAGGCAGAGAUGCAGGAGGAGGCUGUGGUUCCAGAACCAGAAGCGCAGGGGCGUUCUCUGCUGCCUGAAAGUGAAUAUGGUGAGUCUCCUGAGGGCCAGGAGGUGGCUGAGGCCAGUCCUGCUGAGAAGGAGGUGCAAGAACCUUCUCUGACACCUGGCAGUGAAUGUUCCAUCUUCCAUCAAGGCCAAAUACUGCAGUCUGGCCCCACCGAAAGCACAGCAGUGCAGGUUCCAGUGCUGGUCCAUUACGCUGUAUCUCCCGAGGGACAGGAGGUGCAGGAGUGUUCUUUGCUGUCUGAAAAUGAGUACGAGGCAUCCCCCAAAAGGCAUCAUUUGAGAUCCAGUCCUGUUGAAAAAGAACUGGAGGAACAUUCUGACGCUUCUGAAAGUGAAAGUUCAAUAUCCAGCGAUAGCCAGGAGUUGCAGCCUGCUGUUGCUGGAAAAACAGAGGGGCAGGAGUUGUCCUUGUCUGAAGGUGAAUGUUCCAUGACUCCUGAAGGUCAGGAGCUGCAGUCCAGCCCUGCUGAAAGAGUUCUAGCCAAGGAACCUUCUCUGACAUCUGAACAUGCUCUGUCACCUGAAGAGCGCGAGUCAAGAUUGGAGCGUGCUGAGGAAACAGAGGGUGUGGAUUCUACUGUGACUGCUGAACGUGACCAUCUCUUUUUUGAGAGCCAGGAGGUGAGUUUCACCUCUCUUCAGAAAGCAGAUGUGCGGGACCAUUCUCCAACACCCGAAAAUGAACAUGGAGCAUCUCCUGAUGGGCAGGAGUUGAGAUUCACCUCUGUUGAAAAAGCAGAUGGUCUUGAACCUUUGACAGUGAAUGACAGAGCCUCCAUGUCCCCUGAUGGCAGCGACUUGAAUUCCAUCCCUGCUGAAAAAAUGGAUCAUGCAAUGCCUUCUUUAAUGCCUGAAGGGCGCUCGGUGUCUCCUGAUAACUGCAGUGUGGGCCCUGCUGAAGAAACGGGGGAUCUGGAGCCCUCUGUGAGAUCUGAGCGUAGAGACUCCACAUCCUCCUAUCAGGAAGGUAAUGAGCCAAGGUCUCCUAUGGAGGAAGAGGGACUGGAGUCCUCUGUGACAUCUGAACAUAGACAGUCCCUGUCCCCUGAGGGCCAUGACCAGAAGUCUAUUGCAGAUGAAGAAAUGGAUGAUCUGGAGAGGCGUUCCACUUCUCCUGAUGAGCACGAGUCAAGAUCUAGCACUGGUGAAGAAGCAGAGGAUCUGGAGCAGCCUUUGACAACAGAACGUAGGUGCUCUGAGUCCUCUGAUGAGCACGAGUCAAGGUCAACCACUGGAGAAGAGGCAGAGGAUGCAGAGACCUCCUUGGCAGCUGAAAGAAGAGAUUCCGUAUCCUCUGAUGACCGUGAGUCGAGGUCUGCUGCUGAGGAAGAUGUAGAAGAUGGAGAGCCCUCCUUGACAGCUGAACGUAGACACUCCACAUCUUCCGAUGACCAUGAGUCAAGGUCUUCAGCUAAUGAAGAAGCAGAGGAUGUGACAGCUGAUCAUCGCUCUGUGUCUCCUGAUGGACGUGAGUCAAGGUCAACUGUUGGCGAGGAAGACCAAGGAGAGGACCAGGAGCUCUCUUUGACAGCUGAGCGUAGACACUCCACAUCGUCAGAUGAACAGGAGUCAAGGUCUACUGCUGGUGAAGAUGCAGAGGAUGUGGAACCCUCCUCAGCAGCUGAACAAAGAGAUUCCACUUCAUCAGAUGGACAAGAGUCAAGGUCUACUGCUGGUGAAGAAGCUGAGGAUGUGGAACCUCUGACAGCUGAACACAGACGUUCCGCAUCCCCUGAUGGGGCUGAAUCGAGGUCUACCACUGCUGAAGAAGAAGGAGAGGAUGCAGAGCCCUCCUUGACAGCUGAACAAAGAGAGUCCACAUCAUCAGAUGAGCAUGAGUCAGAGUCUUCCAGUGGUGAAGAGGAGGGAGAGGAUGCAGAACCCUCUUUGGCAGAUGAGGAAAAGCAGGAUUCCAUGCCUCUUGAGCAGUCAGAGGAACAGGACUCUUCCUUUGUCCCUGAAAGCAGACGUUCUGAGUCUUCUGAGCGUGAAAAAUCCAGAUCCAAGUCUGUUGAUAAAGCAUCUGACAAAGAGUCUCCACAGAGAUCUGUAAGCAGGCACUCAAAGUCUCCUGCUCGCCAAAAGAGUCGAUCCACGUCUGUGGAGAAAACAGCAGACAAAGAGUCUGUGCGGAGGUACAGACGGAGACGCUCCAGGUCCACAGCUCGCCAGAGGAGCCAGUCAACCUCUGUGGAGAAAACAACAGACAAGGAAUCCUCACGCAGGUCGAGGCGGAGACGCUCCAGGUCCACUGCUCGCCAGAGGAGCCAGUCCAAGUCUGUGGAGAAAGCAGCAGACAAGGAGUCCUCACGCAGGUCCAGGAGCCGGCGCUCCAGGUCCUCCCAGCGCAGGUCCAAGAGAUACGACACGGACUCGCGCUCCAGGCGGAAUCGCUCCAGGUCAGCCACACGGAGAAGAGCGUCCAGAUCUCGCUCCAGCUCCCUGUCACGUUCCAGGCACAGGAGGAGAAGCAGGUCGAGGUCGGCGUCACGAAGGCGGCGUUCCUUGUCCAGAGACAGGCGCAAGAGGUCUCAGAGAAACAGGUCGAGGUCCACUGACAGGAGAAGGAGGAGAUCCGACUCCAGGGACCGCAGGAUAUCGCUCCGGUUGCGGAGCAGGAGCCGGACCCCUCUGCGGCAGAGGCGGUCGCGCUCCAGGGGGAGGAGGAGGAGCUCCAGCAGGUCCCCGAUCCGACUGCGGCGCUCGCGCUCCUCGGGGAGGAGGCGCUACAGCAGAUCCCCCGACCGGCGCCGCUCCCGCUCCUCGGAGUUCUCCAGCAGGUCACCCAAACGUCUCACAGACCUGGACAAGGCCCAGCUGCUGGAGAUCGCCAAGGCCAACGCAGCCGCCAUGUGUGCGAAGUCUGGCGUGCCCCUGCCCCCGAGCCUGAUGCCUCUGCUGUCCCAGAAGAAGGAUGACAAAGCCAACCAGAAGUCCUCGAGGGACACCCUGAAGGAGCUCACUGAGAAAUGCAAGAAGAUUGCUCAGAGCACUGAUGAUGUGAUAGUGAACAAGCCUCACGUUUCUGAUGAGGAGGAGGAGGAACGUCCUUUCUAUAACCAUCCUUUCAAGCUGAGUGAACCCAAACCUAUUUUCUUCAAUUUAAGUACUCCCAGCAUAAAACCAGCACCACCACCCCAACCAAAAAACCAGGUCAGCCUGUCCAAGGAAUUCCCUGUGUCCUCUGGGUCUCAGCAUAGGAAGAAGGAGGCAGACAGUGUGUAUGGAGAGUGGGUUCCCGUGGACAAGAACGGCAAAGAUGACGGCAAGGACGACGUUUUCCCCAAGCCAGCCAUUGAGUGUGUGGACAUAACCACAGCCAUGAACGACAGAGCAGUGGCCCAGAAGAGGCUCAAUGAGAACUCCUUUGACCUGGAGGCCAUGUGCAUGCUGAACCGGGCACAGGAGCAGAUCGAUGCCUGGGCUCAGUCCAACUCCAUCCCCGGGCAGUUCACGGGCAGCACCGGCGCACAGAUCCUGUCCUCGGACGAGCUCACCAACAGCGGGCCCCAGGCGUGGAUCCGAAAGGGUCAAAUCCUUGUAGCCGCCUUCUUGCCACGGUCAGUGCCAGCCCUACUAUUCACAACACUGCGGCCAGCGAGGCCUAGGAUCAGUUCUUAAGAGCAGCCCCUGUAACUGGAGGAAUGGGAGCUCAGCUGAUGAGGAAGAUGGGCUGGAGAGAAGGAGAAGGCCUUGGGAAGAACAAGGAAGGCAGCGUUGAGCCCAUCAUGGUGGACUUCAAGACAGAUCGAAAAGGGCUGGUUGCUGUGGGAGAGAAGGCCCAGAAGAGGUCCGGCCAUUACGUGGUGAUGAAGGAUCUUUCAGGGAAGCACCCGGUGUCUGCGCUGAUGGAGAUCUGCAACAAGAGGAGGUGGACGCCCCCCGAGUUCGUGCUGGUGGACGACAGUGGGCCUGAUCACCGCAAACAUUUCAUCUUCAAGGUGAGAGUCAAUGGCAACGAGUACAGGCCCACCUUUGCCAGCCUUAACAAGAAGCACGCGAAAGCCACGGCGGCCACGGCGGCGCUGCAGGCCAUGGGACUCGUACCAAAGGAAAGCAUGGUCAAUACCACCAUGUUCAGGAGUGCCUCACACCGCUAAGCUUGGCUUUACUGGGACACUGGUUCUGAGCAUUUUACUCUGCACAAGAAAUGGUAUUUGCCCCUCUCAUGUUGUAAAUACAUCGGCGAUUCCCACCUUGUAAAAACUGUACAGACACCCGCAGGUUUUUCUUUUGUACCAUCCAAAUGUAUUUAAAUCAUACUUAGUUUUUGGUAUGUUUAUAUUGUUUACAUUAGUGAUGUAAUUAUUUCUUAAACGACUAAAUCAGACGACAGACUCUGGAGGCAUCAGAAAUCCAGACCCUUGGCUGAAGCUCCUGCAGUUCCUCUCCUGUCAGAGCGUUGACCCUUUCUUUGAUACAGUUUUGUAGUGGCUGCAGAGUCCCCUGGGCUCGGGGAGGUGCUGGGGACACCCGGGGGCCGUGCCCGGGCGCUGCCCCUCGGUGCCACCCCAGGACAGCCGGGGGGACGCGGAGGCUCGGGCACGGCCCGGCCCAGCCUCCCGGGGGGAGCUGCUCUUCCCAACCAGUGAAUCCACUGCCUGAUGCUGAUUGUACGGAUUUGUGGUUCAUGUGAAUUUUAAACUCUUUAACAAAUCUACAACUGGAUUUGGGGGGGAGGGAGGGGGUAGAAUGACGCUUCAAUUGUUGUACCCAACUUGGUCAAUAAAGCAGCACAAGUUCAUAAUCUUCACCCCUGGUCAGUAAACAGUAAUUCCAAGGGAUGCCAAGCCAGGAAACAGGAAUUUAAACACGGCAGAAUGUCUUUUGCAAGGAACACACACGAUACAGAAGUGGCUUUGUGAGGAUUCCCAACAGCCAUUGGGAUGGCAGGAGCAGGUCUGGUGGUUUUUGGUUUUUUUGAACUUUUGCAAAAUAACUCCUUGGGAUGCAAUGUUGAGGAUAAGGAUCCUCUGCUCUCAAGGAGCCUGAUUCAGAGUUUGGGCAGUUGGACAGCAGAGAGGAUGUAGAAAGCUUUUCCUGCUUUUUAUUUUAUUUUUUAUUUAAGAAGCAUUAAUCUUUGAUCUGUGUGCACGUGGGACUGGAAGGGGCAGUGCACCCUCCCUGAGGGAUCUGAGUUAGGAGCAGGCUGCCAGGAUUUCUGCACUGGGGUCAUUCGGGGGCUUGUCCCAGACAAGUCUUUGUGAGGUGUGAACCUGAGCUGGGUUUGGGGACAGAACAAACCCAGCCAGGCUGCUCAGGCCUCACAUGAGGGACCCUUUGGCCAUGGAGGUCCAUGGAGCUGAGGAAUUCCUGGUGCCUGGAGCCCUGUGGAUCCUGUCAGUGUCACAGAACGUGGAGUCUCCUUGCUCUGCAGGGACAAGGGUUGGUGUUUCCUGUGCAGCAGAGAGUUGGCGUUGGUUGGGAGACAGAAAAGCCCCUGUGAGUCUGUCCAAGCACUCCAAAAAUGCUUCAGUUGAUCUUCAUUUCAUGGACGUUGUUGUCUUGAAUUAAACUUUUUUCCCUUUGGCA